AACGAACGCUGGCGGCAGGCUUAACACAUGCAAGUCGAACGCCCCUUCGGGGGAGUGGCAGACGGGUGAGUAACGCGUGGGAACCUACCUUUCGGUACGGAACAACAGUUGGAAACGACUGCUAAUACCGUAUACGUCCUUCGGGAGAAAGAUUUAUCGCCGAUAGAGGGGCCCGCGUUGGAUUAGCUUGUUGGUGAGGUAAUGGCUCACCAAGGCGACGAUCCGUAGCUGGUCUGAGAGGAUGAUCAGCCACACUGGGACUUAGACACGGCCCAGACUCCUACGGGAGGCAGCAGUGGGGAAUCUUGGACAAUGGGCGAAAGCCUGAUCCAGCCAUGCCGCGUGAGUGAUGAAGGCCUUAGGGUCGUAAAGCUCUUUCGCCAGGGAUGAUAAUGACAGUACC
rnacentral:rRNA from 1 species